rnacentral:rRNA from 1 species
AGUGAACGCUGGCGGUAGGCCUAACACAUGCAAGUCGAACGGCAGCACAGUAAGAGCUUGCUCUUACGGGUGGCGAGUGGCGGACGGGUGAGGAAUACAUCGGAAUCUACUUUUUCGUGGGGGAUAACGUAGGGAAACUUACGCUAAUACCGCAUACGACCUACGGGUGAAAGCAGGGGAUCUUCGGACCUUGCGCGAUUGAAUGAGCCGAUGUCGGAUUAGCUAGUUGGCGGGGUAAAGGCCCACCAAGGCGACGAUCCGUAGCUGGUCUGAGAGGAUGAUCAGUCACACUGGAACUGAGACACGGUCCAGACUCCUACGGGAGGCAGCAGUGGGGAAUAUUGGACAAUGGGCGCAAGCCUGAUCCAGCCAUACCGCGUGGGUGAAGAAGGCCUUCGGGUUGUAAAGCCCUUUUGUUGGGAAAGAAAAGCAGCAGGUUAAUACCCCGCUGUUCUGACGGUACCCAAGGAAUAAGCACCGGCUAACUUCGUG